rnacentral:tRNA from 3 species
CGGGUGUAGCUCAAUGGCAGAGCAGCAGCUUCCCAAGCUGAAUACGAGGGUUCGAUUCCCUUCACCC